ACCGAACAGACAGCGCCAGACACGAGGAGCAGGGUUUCUCUGUGCGCUAUUGAUUUGUCGUAACUGCCUGCCGACAGACAAGAGGACUUGGGCAGGCUGGAAUCAGAGGCUCAGAGAGGCAACAAGACUUGACCAGUGAUGCACAGCAAGUGAGCAGAAAGUGGGCACCUACUUCCUUCCCCUGGAGUUCCUGUCACCUGUCACUUGUGGGUGGGUUCAGCCCAUUCCCCAACAAAAGGUCGAGGCCCCUGCCCCAAUUUCCCCAGAGGUGAGGAAACUGAGAACUGCAGUCAGCCCCCUGACUUGAGUCACUCAGUCAAGAAGUUGGAAUUUGUGUCUGAUUUCCUGGGUCUGGGCAAUGCCAGGCUUGGGGGGAGAG
ensembl:lncRNA